GUCGUGAGACAGUUCGGUCCCUAUCCGUCGCGGGCGUAGGAAAUUUGAGAGGACCUGUCCUUAGUACGAGAGGACCGGGAUGGACAUAUCUCUGGUGUACCAGUUGUGCCGCCAGGCGCAUUGCUGGGUAGCUACGUAUGGAUGUGAUAAACGCUGAAAGCAUCUAAGUGUGAAACACACCUCGAGAUGAGAUUUCCCAUUCCUUUAUGGAAGUAAGACCCCUGAAAGAUGAUCAGGUAGAUAGGUUAGAAGUGGCAGUGCGGUGACGCAUGAAGCGGACUAAUACUAAUCGGUCGAGGACUUAACCAAG
rnacentral:rRNA from 2 species